GUUUAGAACAAUGCCUGGCACGUCAUAAGCCCUGCAUAAAUAAAUACAAUUAACACAGAGGUUUGUGGCUCCUGCUAGACUGUAAAUUACCGCCCUCAAAACCAGCUCUGCAGAAAACUGAAGUGAAAGGGCCUGUGGACUACAGGAAUAAACAAUCCAGUCCUGAGAAAGCCUGUGGAGACCCUCAGGGACCAUCAUUCCUUGCCCCCAAAGGGUGAAAAUCAGUGACAGCAUCCCAGACCACCCAUGCAGCAUCCUUCAAGUAAUGGGGCAGCCCAAAAGUCCUACUGCAAUGAGCUCUUGACAAAAAUAUAUAUGGACAGAGCAGCCUCCCUCAAGCUUCAUUCCUCCAC
rnacentral:lncRNA from 1 species